CUGGAGUAAGUGUUUGUCUAGACCAAAUAUUGAUUAUAUUUUCAAUUUCUUUUAUUUUAGGAUAAUAGUUCAAAGAUUCCAUUUCUUGCAAAUUGACAGAAAAGUUUAUUCCUAAUAGUGUAAACCUACUGGAACCCCAUUCCAAUCCCCACUUUACACACAUGGUGUCUUGACUAUAUUUUUUCUUUCCUAUCCACACCACCUUUGUCUUGUCUAAG
rnacentral:lncRNA from 1 species